AGAAGAGGGCGAAAAGGGGAAAACAAGUUUUUAGCCGGGGUCUUCCAGCAGGAUCGGGGCAGCGGGUGGGAGUCUCGAGGCAGUGAGGGGGGGCGGGGCGUGGAGAGGAAAGGGCGGAGUCUGGGUAUUUGGACCGUGAUUGUAAAGAAGCUGUUCCAACCCCGUCGGGGGGCGGCGUUUGCAGAGAGGGAAGUAGCGUGAGGCAGGUUGGGGAAGGCGUGAAAGGCCUAGGAGCACCGAGGGGCGGUGGAGGGGUGUGGCCUGGAAUGUUAGGCGGAGCGGGAGGUGGGCCGGGCUUUCGGACGCCCUGUCCCGCAGACGUUGACGAGUGCAGCGAGGAGGACCUUUGCCAGAGCGGCAUCUGUACCAACACCGACGGCUCCUUCGAGUGCGUCUGUCCUCCGGGACACCGCGCCGGCCCGGACCUCGCCUCCUGCCUCGACGUGGACGAAUGUCGCGAGCGAGGCCCAGCCCUGUGCGGGUCGCAGCGCUGUGAGAACUCUCCCGGGUCCUACCGCUGUGUGCGGGACUGCGAUCCUGGGUACCACGCGGGCCCCGAGGGCACUUGUGACGAUGUGGAUGAGUGCCAAGAAUAUGGUCCCGAGAUUUGUGGAGCUCAGCGUUGUGAGAACACCCCUGGCUCCUACCGCUGCACACCGGCCUGUGACC
rnacentral:sRNA from 1 species